rnacentral:rRNA from 1 species
UACGUAGGGUGCGAGCGUUGUCCGGAAUUAUUGGGCGUAAAGGGCUCGUAGGCGGUUUGUCGCGUCGGGAGUGAAAUCCACUGGCUUAACUGGUGGCUUGCUUUCGAUACGGGCAGACUGGAGGUAUGCAGGGGAGAACGGAAUUCCUGGUGUAGCGGUGAAAUGCGCAGAUAUCAGGAAGAAUAUCCGUGGCGAAGGCGGCUCUCUGGUACGGCACUGACGCUGAGACGCGAAAGCGUGGGGAGCGAACAGG